AUAAAGCUAGGUUACCAAAGUU
rnacentral:miRNA from 2 species